CAUUUAAACCUUUCAUACGAAACAGGUGGAGGAAACAAAUAAUAAUCAUUCCUAUAAUUCAAUUCAAGAGAGUACAACAUUGAGGGCAGGGCAAACACUAAACCCUGGACUCACCGGUGGUGGGAUUAGGCGCCUAGGAGGAGUCAGUAUCCCCUAUUGACCGGUCAUACCUGCCGAAAGCUCUAAAUCUUGAUCAGUAUCAAUGGUGUCAAUUGUAGCACACUUUCGUACGAUACUUAUGUUGUAUAUUCUGUAGUAUCUGAUGAUGGGUCACUUCAAUUGAGAGGGAAGUUCAACCAGCAAUUUCAUCUAAGCACUUUUCCAAAUCCAAUUCCUUGUUUGUGAAGGUAAAUGAGUACUGGUAUAACGUUCGGAAACAUUUUGUUGUGCAUAAAACCUAUGAUACUGCCUUAGUAAUGUGAUCUUUUAUAUUGUGCAUAAUAAUGCGUUCUACGUUUAAUUUGGUGUUGCUGUUGAAUGGUUUAUUUGUGAUAUCACAUGCCCAGACAGAGAUUCCUGGAGUCUGCUCAAAAAAUGGUAAACCUCUACAAUGUUGUCGUAAUUACAAAAGACGUGAUGAUUCAUGUGAAGAAUGUUGGCCAGGCACAUUUGGCAUAGCUUGUAAGGAGAACUGUCCUGACGGGUUCUAUGGACGUUUGUGUGCAGAAGUCUGUGAUUGUCCUUCGUGUGACAAGGUCUCUGGGUGUAAUUUUUCAAAUCAGACUGAUAAGGAUAACAAUUUUAUUUCAGAGAAUUCCAAUAAUGAGAGCGUUAUCAUUGGUUCAUCAUUGGCAGGAAGUCUUACUUUCAUAAUAGUUAUCAUCAUCUACUGCAAAAAGAGGUAAAAUGGGAAAAUUUCACUUGGCAUUGGAUGAGAGCUUGGGAAGUCUUCAGAAUCAUUUGAUGAUUUGAUAACUUUAUGGUUUCUAUAAAAGAAAUUUCUCCCGUGUUUGUGGAAAUAUAAAUGUUUCUAGAAUUUUUGAAUACAUGAUAUGGCGAUUCAAAUGUCAUGUGAAAUGGUUUGUAUCGUUUUGACUGUAUAUCUACGUAGCUCAGUAGAUAAGUAUCGGGGUACUGGCAUGCAGAUCCCGAGUUCAAAUCCGCCCCAGUAGAUAAGUAUCGAGGUACUGGCACGCAGAUCCCGAGUUCACAUCCGCCAAACCGCCGCGGUGGCCGAGAGGUUAGAGCGUUCGUCCCGCAUACUGAAGGCCGGGAUUCGAAUCCCGGCCGCGACAGACCUAAGUCGUUAAAAUAGGUGGUGACAGUUCCAUCGGCAAACGCUCGGCAUCAGGUGUGAAUGUCACGGGUCCUCGGAGAUGACCUUAAAAACGGAUGUACUGUGUCACAGUAGGUGUUGCACGCUAAAGAACUCUAACUCCUCAAUGGCUAUAAGCGUCAGGAAUAGUCCUAAAUUUGAAGCCCUUCACCGGUCUUGGUGACGUCUCCAUAUGAGUGAAAAAUUCUCGAGCGAAACGUUCAGCAAGAUACAAUCAAUCAAUCAAUCAAUUAAUCAAAUCCACCAGCCUCUUUGUUUUUGUUAAAAUAAUUUUUUGAAACUCGUGGCUUUUUUCUCCAAAUUGCUUUUUUUUUUUUACCAUUUUGAUAUAUGUACUUAUUGCCUAUCAUCAAAUUUUUCAAGACUACGGCAUUUCUUGCUGAUUUGAUAAACGUUUUCAGAGUGUAAUGAGGUAACUUGAUGUUUCUUCUUCCGUUCCACUUGUCGGUUUAUUUCCAAUGAUUUUAGUAAGAAUAUACCUUUCUUGUAUUACAGCAGAAACAGAACCUUAAUGACUCCAGAUUCAUUGAUUCAAAAAGGUUAUUCUAACACAUAUUUCAUAUCAAAGAUGUUUAAAGUAAAUGAAUAUAAUUGAAAAAGUUUAAAUUUUUCUAGAAAUUUGCUAAACUAUACACACAGGCGGAUUACAAGUCAGUACGAUACCAUUGAAUAGAUUUCCUCAACUCAGUCCAUCUUCCAGUAACGCAGCUGAUAAUGGUGAUCCAGAAUCAACAUUUCACGGCGGGAAGUUUGAACCGUUAGAACCUCAAAUGUGUUGUCAGCAAAAUGAUGUUACCGAUAAUUCCUUAAAUUCAAAAGAGACUAGUCAUGUUAAGCUGUCGUCUUCAGAAAGUGUGUACAGUCAUAUGAACAUGGAAGUCGAUCAUUACCACAAAAUAGAUAUGGCAUUCGAGAAUAGUCGGGAAAUUGAUGAAGACCUCUACUCUCCACACAGUUCAAACAGUUGUUGCAAUAAUACAGACUCGGGGUGUUCGUCGAAAAACAACGAGAAUGGAUCUUUAUCAUCCGUAAAGCAGUGCAGCGAAACUCUAAACAAAAAUUCACAAACAGCAGAUAUAUUUGAAACCCAUGACAUCCGAGAAACAGGAAAUUUUAAAACUGGUAUGACGAAGAAAAAUGGAAUUUCAUCAGUAAAGAUGAAGAUAGAAGGAAUGCACUUAAAAGAAUUGUCAAGAAAACUGCGUAACUUUAAACAGUACCCUGAAGAUAUCGAAUUCAAUGAUUUGGUGUAGUUUAAAGUUGCAUUCAUAUGCAAAGAACCCCAUACAAACAGAAAAAUACUAAAAAACAGAUGAACCUCCUCCGGACUAAUACUGAGGUGCUGAUGAACAUCAUACAGAAAAUACUGAGAUAUCGAGAUAUUGACGAACAUUCUAGAAAGAAAUACUGAGAUACCGUCUUUUUUCCUUCCACGGAGAUUGCAGACAUAAAAAAAAUAAGAUAUUGAAAGAUUCCUAGUUAGAAUUUUGAAUUAGCAAUGACAAAAUUUCACAUUUUAAAAUAGUUUGAUUUAUAUUGGAUCAUUGCAUUAAGCGCUGCUUUCGUAUGUAUGCAGCUAAGGACACCUGGCGGACUGGAUUUAUGGGUUAUGAGUUUGUGAAUAUACUACAAAGUUUUACAUUUCUCUGUAUAUUUCCUAUUUAUCUACAUCGCAAACAUAUUGUUUUUCUUUUAUUUCACAAUAACACUAAUAAUAUUUUAUUCCCCGACACGUCACUGCGAAUCAAAGAUGAAGCAAAGCACAAACUUGCAAAGCAAAAUUCCUAUUUAAUUGCCAGUCCUAAGGUGCCGGGGUGCAAUGAUGAUGUCAAGAUAGCGGCUUCCACAGUUCAAAAGGACGGUGUUGUAUCAGUUCAGUUUUACUUUUACCGAUCGUUUUGGAUCAGUGGUCAAAUCGUUCGCAUCGUGAAGAAAGUCAGUGAUUAAUCUCUUGUAUUCACCAAAGGUGACUUUAGAAGUGAGAGUCAUGGGUCUUUUAAAUCAUACUUUACAAACCGGGGUAUCAUGUUUCGCUUGGCGUUGACAAAAUAAAAUCAACCAAUGCUAGCUUUCUGGGCACCAUGCCUAGGUCUAAAUUUGUGAUACUUCAUUUGCAGCUGAUGGCAUCCCAAUUCUAGGGAAAAAAUACAAAGAAACAAACAUUUAAAAAGCAUAUUUCUUUCAUUUGUAAACUAACAGGAAACAGAUGUGCAGAUAUAUUUUCACAUCACGCUUGUGCUAUUAGUGUAUAUUUUUAAAUUGCACUGCUUGACAUUCUUACGUUUCCUGAAAAUUGUUUAUCCUUUCCAGUUUUUAUUCAUAGCACAACAAUACAAAAAUAAGUCUGGAAAUAAAGUUCACAGUUACAGAAAUGAUGAACUUUGUCAUAUUAUGCUUGUAGGUUAACGUACAUAAAUUACAUAAAGCAGAUGAUAUGAUUCUUCAAAUCAUUCAAACACUCGACAUGACAUCAUGAAUUUUGAUAAACGCUUCAAAUAUCCACUCCACUAAUUAAUUGGAAUCUCAUAACUUGUGGUUGAACCUCCACCUGUCACGAUCUAGCUCAUGGUAACUAUAUACUCUCAUAGUAUCCAAUGAAUAACCAUCUAACAUAUUUGGGAUGACAAAGAACUGUUGCGUUGGAUUACCGAGGUUGCAAGUGAACAGUUAUCAUUAAAACUUCUUUCCCCACUAGUAAACGGCUGUCGAUUAACGUUAUUCUAGAUGACAUUGGUUGUGUAGUAAAUAGGGCUAUACGGACCGUGGAUUUCGGACUGGGUAGCUCAGUGGUUAGAGCACCUAACUAGUAAUGCAGGGGUCCCGGGUUGGAUUCCCGAUCAAGCCAAAAAAUUUCUACUCUUUCCUUUAUAUACUACAGUUGUCUCGCUUAUUGGUUUUAUGAAAUGCGAAGAUAACGAACAGUGAUCAAUCUCAUUACUCCUAUAAGCAAUAUAAUAUAGAGAGUUAGGCUAACACGGACCCCUGGAUAUAUCUAAAGUUCUCGUUUCAUUUAUGAGUGAACAUCUCUAUCUUAAUGUUAUUGUCAUUCUUGCCUGUCGAUAGCUCUAGACUAAACGUUUCCCUCUUGCUAACGAACAGCUCAGAUUAAACUUCUUAUCCUGAUUACUAGUGAACAGGUCAAGAUUAACUUGUAAUAUCGCUUGCUUGUGAACAACUCUAGAUACAUGUAUAUGUAAUAUGUGUUAGAUGCUUUUAAAUGAAUACUGACUUUUAAAUGAGACCUUAUCUUUAUUUGUAAUUAUGGGCCAGAUGUUUGUUCAAAAAAUCAACAAGCAAUUGUCACCAGACCUGUGCCAUACAUUUGUUACUUUUAACGCAAAAUUAUCAUAUAUUGUUAUAGAUUUUGAUUACAAUCGUAUUAUGGUUGAAACACAUGUACUGCAUGUACGGAGUCCAGCCAAAAUAACUCAAGGAAUCGAACAGUUUUAAAUAAUUUAGUCAUAAAUUCAUAAUGGUGUACUCUUCCGUCCCUUUUUCUUGGAGUAAAUGUGAGCUUGUAUUGCUAGUAAAGAAUACCUAACUCAGUAGUGAAUAGUGAUUAUGGACAAUAUAUCUACAAUUUAAAGUGAAAGUGAAAACGGUUAAGAUCUUGUUUUAAUUCUUAAUUCCGGUCAACCUGUAACACACUGAACGAACAGAAAUAGUCAUUAUUUUUUAACAGUGCAUCAAAAAUGACAUGCGUUAAAGACUUGUCUUGUCUAAAAUUUCAGCCCUACCACAACAUUCCUGUACUUUUAGCAGUGGCGUAACCUGAGUUAAUUAAUGGGUACACCUAUUGUAAGGUGAAGUGUCUAAUAGAGAAAACAUGCCGUAACGACAACGGCUUAGACCCGGAAAGGUGUAACACUAACAAGAUAUCACUACCAAUAGGGAGACUAAUGUACCGCAGAUACUGCAGACACUUAUUUUUCACCUAUGUUUGUAGCAUUUAAUAGGGUUUUUUAUGUGUACGCCCGGGCGUUUUGACGUAAUCGUAGCUACGCGCCUGCUUUUAGUGACGGUAACGAACACUGAUCAAUCUUAUCAAUCCCAUUAAGAAUACGACAUUACAAUAAAGGCAAACAGGGAAAUCAGACAAGGCUGUCCGAUUUCAGCUAUUCUAUACCCCAUUCUUGUCGAAAUUCUGUCAAAUAAAAUUAAAACGAACAACUCAAUCCGCGGCUUUACAUCUAAAAACCUAGAGAAUGAAAUUUUAAAAAAUCCAACAUGCGGACGACAUGACAAUAGCAUUAAGUGAUACCGAGUCCCUGAAACAAGCGAUUAAAACUCUUAACAGUUUCUGUGAAUAAGCAGGUUUAAAAAUAAACUUCACCAAAUCAGAAUACAUUUUACUUGGAAACCUUAAAAACCAGUUUGAAACAGUAGAAGGAAUUAAAGUAACUUAGAAAGCCGUAAAGUCUUUAGGCAUUUAUAUAGGACAAGACGAAAUGAAUGUUACAGUAAAAACUGGAUGAAAAUAUAUCGCGAAAUUGAAAUGUUAUUUGAAUCAUGGAAAAGAAGAGC